GACGAACGCUGGCGGCGUGCCUAAUACAUGCAAGUCGAACGCUGAAGGAGGAGCUUGCUUCUCUGGAUGAGUUGCGAACGGGUGAGUAACGCGUAGGUAACCUGCCUGGUAGCGGGGGAUAACUAUUGGAAACGAUAGCUAAUACCGCAUAAUAGCAGUUGUUGUAUGACAACUGUUUGAAAGGUGCAAUUGCACCACUACCAGAUGGACCUGCGUUGUAUUAGCUAGUUGGUGGGGUAACGGCUCACCAAGGCGACGAUACAUAGCCGACCUGAGAGGGUGAUCGGCCACACUGGGACUGAGACACGGCCCAGACUCCUACGGGAGGCAGCAGUAGGGAAUCUUCGGCAAUGGACGGAAGUCUGACCGAGCAACGCCGCGUGAGUGAAGAAGGUUUUCGGAUCGUAAAGCUCUGUUGUAAGAGAAGAACGAGUGUGAGAGUGGAAAGUUCACACUGUGACGGUAUCUUACCAGAAAGGGACGGCUAACUACGUG
rnacentral:rRNA from 1 species